rnacentral:rRNA from 1 species
CCCUACGGGGGGCAGCAGUAGGGAAUUUUCGUCAAUGGGCGCAAGCCUGAACGAGCGAUGCCGCGUGAGUGAAGAAGGCCUUCGGGUCGUAAAGCUCUGUUGCGGGGGAAAAAAGGCAGCAUCAGGAAAUGGGUGCUGACUGAUGGUGCCCCGCCAGGAAGCCACGGCUAACUACGUGCCAGCAGCCGCGGUAAUACGUAGGUGGCGAGCGUUAUCCGGAAUUAUUGGGCGUAAAGAGGGAGCAGGCGGCAGCUAAGGUCUGCGGUGAAAGCCCGAAGCUAAACUUCGGUAAGCCGUGGAAACCG